ACUCCUACGGGAGGCAGCAGUGGGGAAUAUUGCACAAUGGGCGCAAGCCUGAUGCAGCCAUGCCGCGUGUAUGAAGAAGGCCUUCGGGUUGUAAAGUACUUUCAGCGGGGAGGAAGGCAAUACGGUUAAUAACCGUGUUGAUUGACGUUACCCGCAGAAGAAGCACCGGCUAACUCCGUGCCAGCAGCCGCGGUAAUACGGAGGGUGCAAGCGUUAAUCGGAAUUACUGGGCGUAAAGCGCACGCAGGCGGUCUGUCAAGUCGGAUGUGAAAUCCCCGGGCUCAACCUGGGAACUGCAUUCGAAACUGGCAGGCUUGAGUCUUGUAGAGGGGGGUAGAAUUCCAGGUGUAGCGGUGAAAUGCGUAGAGAUCUGGAGGAACACCGGUGGCGAAGGCGGCCCCCUGGACAAAGACUGACGCUCAGGUGCGAAAGCGUGGGGAGCAAACAGGAUUAGAUACCCCGGUAGUCCC
rnacentral:rRNA from 1 species